UUUGCAACCACAUUUAGCACUGCGCCCCUUUUUGCAGUGGCAAAAAAUUGUGUUCAGCAGUUCUUCCGGCGCAGUUGGAAGUUAAGUUGGACUGGUUCUAAUGAAUUGUUUACCAACUUCCAACCCCAGUCUGUAGGGUAUAGCUGAUAACCAAGCCACACUUGAACUUGGUAAUAUACUUGAGAAAGAUGUUGAUGAGCAGCAACUGAGUUUCAGAUUCCUCUCAAAUAACCACACAUCAUUAGCAAGUUGCCAUAUCAUUUGAAGACUAAUGAAAUUGAAGACUCGACUUCAUUAGUAACGUUAGUCAGUCGACUGAGAAAGGGGUUGCUCCAUCCCAUUUUGCCAUUUGUGUAAGUGAGAAUGACCAAAUAAUUGUUAAAUCUUCAAUAUCAUCUUCGUUCACUACGGUGCCAAUCAUAUAUUACUUUCUUAUUUUUCUUUGGCUCAUAGAAGCCUUUUCGAAACCUCUCUAAUUCAAAUUCAAAUUCUUUAUGUUCUUCAAGAUCAAUAUAUGAUAUUGGAAAUGUAUAUACGACACAUACAAAAAAAUGUGAUCAAACAAAAUAUAACACAAGUUUUCGUAUGAUUGUUUAAACAUAUAUUUUAAUAACAAAUUGAAUGUUAGUGGUUAAGGUACUCACUAUAAAAACAGAUUGUGAUAAAAAAUGUUUUAAAAGUGAUUUAGAUGUAGAUUGCAUGUUCUAAUUUUUAUUUCUAUUGGAAGAUAAUUAAAAAGUUUGUGUACCUCUGAUUUAUAUUUGAUGUAUAAUAAUAUCGAUGAUUUUUGAAAUGUUUUCAUACUAAUGUAUCUGAAAUUGCCAUGCGAUAAAUAAAUAAUUCAGAGUGGAGAAA